GAUGAACGCUGGCGGCGUGCCUAAUACAUGCAAGUCGAGCGAACGGACGAGGAGCUUGCUUCUCUGAUGUUAGCGGCGGACGGGUGAGUAACACGUGGAUAACCUACCUAUAAGACUGGGAUAACUUCGGGAAACCGGAGCUAAUACCGGAUGAUAUUUUGAACCGCAUGGUUCAAUAGUGAAAGACGGUCUUGCUGUCACUUAUAGAUGGAUCCGCGCUGCAUUAGCUAGUUGGUAAGGUAACGGCUUACCAAGGCAACGAUGCAUAGCCGACCUGAGAGGGUGAUCGGCCACACUGGAACUGAGACACGGUCCAGACUCCUACGGGAGGCAGCAGUAGGGAAUCUUCCGCAAUGGGCGAAAGCCUGACGGAGCAACGCCGCGUGAGUGAUGAAGGUCUUCGGAUCGUAAAACUCUGUUAUUAGGGAAGAACAAAUGUGUAAGUAACUGUGCACGUCUUGACGGUACCUAAUCAGAAAGCCACGGCUAACUACGUG
rnacentral:rRNA from 1 species